rnacentral:rRNA from 1 species
AAUAUUGCGCAAUGGGGGGAACCCUGACGCAGCAACGCCGCGUGAGCGACGAAGGCCUUCGGGUCGUAAAGCUCUGUCUUAAGGGAUGAUAAUGACAGUACCUUAAGAGGAAGCCCCGGCUAACUACGUGCCAGCAGCCGCGGUAAUACGUAGGGGGCAAGCGUUGUCCGGAUUUACUGGGUGUAAAGGGCGCGUAGGCGGUUAUCUAAGUCAGCUGUGAAAGUCCAGGGCUUAACCCUGGAAUUGCAAUUGAAACUAAAUAACUUGAGUUAAGGAGAGGAGAGCGGAAUUCCUAGUGUAGCGGUGAAAUGCGUAGAUAUUAGGAAGAACACCAGUGGCGAAGGCGGCUCUCUGGACUUAAACUGACGCUGAGGCGCGAAAGCGUGGGUAGCGAACA